rnacentral:rRNA from 1 species
UACAGAGGUCUCAAGCGUUGUUCGGAUUCAUUGGGCGUAAAGGGUGUGUAGGUGGCGCCGUAAGUCGGGUGUGAAAUUUCGGAGCUUAACUCCGAAACUGCAUUCGAUACUGCGGUGCUUGAGGACUGGAGAGGAGACUGGAAUUCAUGGUGUAGCAGUGAAAUGCGUAGAGAUCGUAAGGAAGACCAGUGGCGAAGGCGGGUCUCGUGGACAGUUCCUGACACUGAGGCACGAAGGCCAGGGGAGCAAACGGG